GAGUUUGAUCCUGGCUCAGGACGAACGCCGGCGGCGUGCUUAACACAUGCAAGUCGAACGAUGAAGCUGGAGCUUGCUCCGGCGGAUUAGUGGCGAACGGGUGAGUAACACGUGAGCAAUCUGCCCUUGACUCUGGGAUAACUGCGGGAAACUGUAGCUAAUACCGGAUACUUUCCUCGGUGGGCAUCCACUGGGGAAGAAAGAAUUUCGGUCAAGGAUGAGCUCGCGGCCUAUCAGCUAGUUGGUGAGGUAAUGGCUCACCAAGGCGACGACGGGUAGCCGGCCUGAGAGGGUGACCGGCCACACUGGGACUGAGACACGGCCCAGACUCCUACGGGAGGCAGCAGUGGGGAAUAUUGCACAAUGGACGAAAGUCUGAUGCAGCAACGCCGCGUGAGGGAUGAAGGCCUUCGGGUUGUAAACCUCUUUUAGCAGGGAAGAAGCGAAAGUGACGGUACCUGCAGAAAAAGCACCGGCUGACUACGUGCCAGCAGCCGCGGUAAUACGUAGGGUGCAAGCGUUGUCCGGAAUUAUUGGGCGUAAAGAGCUCGUAGGCGGUUUGUCACGUCUGCUGUGAAAUUUCGAGGCUCAACCUCGAAAUUGC
rnacentral:rRNA from 1 species